rnacentral:rRNA from 1 species
GUGGUAACCGGUGCCAGCGGCGCGGGAUAUACGGAGGGGGGGGGCGUGAGUGUGAAUUACGCGGCGUAAGGCGUGCGUAGGCGGAUGGUUAAGGAUGCCGUGAAAGCCCCGGGAUCAACCGGGGAACGGCGGUUGAGACGGCCCGGCUCGAGUGGGCUAGAGGAUCGUGGAAUUCCGGGUGUAGCGGUGAAAUGCGGAGAGAUCCGGAGGAACACCGAUGGCGAAGGCAGCGAUCUGGGGCCACACUGACGCUGAGGCACGAAAGCGUGGGGAGCAAACAGGAUUAGAUACCCUGGUAUC